UACGUAGGUCCCGAGCGUUGUCCGGAUUUAUUGGGCGUAAAGCGAGCGCAGGUGGUUUAUUAAGUCUGGUGUAAAAGGCAGUGGCUCAACCAUUGUAUGCAUUGGAAACUGGUAGACUUGAGUGCAGAAGAGGAGAGUGGAAUUCCAUGUGUAGCGGUGAAAUGCGUAGAUAUAUGGAGGAACACCGGUGGCGAAAGCGGCUCUCUGGCCUGUAACUGACACUGAGGCUCGAAAGCGUGGGGUGCAAACAGG
rnacentral:rRNA from 1 species